GACGGGGCCCGCACAAGCGGUGAGCAUGUGGUUUAAUUCGAAGCAACGCGCAGAACCUUACCAGCCUUUGACAUGGCAGGACGAUUUUCAGAGAUGGAUCUCUUCCAGCAAUGGACCUGCACACAGGUGCUGCAUGGCUGUCGUCAGCUCGUGUCGUGAGAUGUUGGGUUAAGUCCCGCAACGAGCGCAACCCUCGCCUUUAGUUGCCAUCAUUCAGUUGGGCACUCUAAAGGGACUGCCGGUGAUAAGCCGCGAGGAAGGUGGGGAUGACGUCAAGUCCUCAUGGCCCUUACGGGCUGGGCUACACACGUGCUACAAUGGCGGUGACAGUGGGAUGCAAAGGGGCGACCCCUCGCAAAUCUCAAAAAGCCGUCUCAGUUCGGAUUGUACUCUGCAACUCGAGUGCAUGAAGUUGGAAUCGCUAGUAAUCGUGGAUCAGCAUGCCACGGUGAAUACGUUCCCGGGCCUU
rnacentral:rRNA from 1 species